rnacentral:rRNA from 1 species
CUGGCUCAGGACGAACGCUGGCGGCGUGCCUAAUACAUGCAAGUCGAGCGGACAGAUGGGAGCUUGCUCCCUGAUGUUAGCGGCGGACGGGUGAGUAACACGUGGGUAACCUGCCUGUAAGACUGGGAUAACUCCGGGAAACCGGGGCUAAUACCGGAUGCUUGUUUGAACCGCAUGGUUCAAACAUAAAAGGUGGCUUCGGCUACCACUUACAGAUGGACCCGCGGCGCAUUAGCUAGUUGGUGAGGUAACGGCUCACCAAGGCAACGAUGCGUAGCCGACCUGAGAGGGUGAUCGGCCACACUGGGACUGAGACACGGCCCAGACUCCUACGGGAGGCAGCAGUAGGGAAUCUUCCGCAAUGGACGAAAGUCUGACGGAGCAACGCCGCGUGAGUGAUGAAGGUUUUCGGAUCGUAAAGCUCUGUUGUUAGGGAAGAACAAGUACCGUUCGAAUAGGGCGGUACCUUGACGGUACCUAACCAGAAAGCCACGGCUAACUACGUGCCAGCAGCCGCGGUAAUACGUAGGUGGCAAGCGUUGUCCGGAAUUAUUGGGCGUAAAGGGCUCGCAGGCGGUUUCUUAAGUCUGAUGUGAAAGCCCCCGGCUCAACCGGGGAGGGUCAUUGGAAACUGGGGAACUUGAGUGCAGAAGAGGAGAGUGGAAUUCCACGUGUAGCGGUGAAAUGCGUAGAGAUGUGGAGGAACACCAGUGGCGAAGGCGACUCUCUGGUCUGUAACUGACGCUGAGGAGCGAAAGCGUGGGGAGCGAACAGGAUUAGAUACCCUGGUAGUCCACGCCGUAAACGAUGAGUGCUAAGUGUUAGGGGGUUUCCGCCCCUUAGUGCUGCAGCUAACGCAUUAAGCACUCCGCCUGGGGGAGUACGGUCGCAAGACUGAAACUCAAAGGAAUUGACGGGGGCCCGCACAGCGGUGGAGCAUGUGGUUUAAUUUCGAGCAACGCGGAAGAACCUUACCAGGUCUUGACAUCCUCUGACAUCUAGA